AUGUAUCCGAUAGCGUGGGCACUUGUAGACAAAGAGACCAAUGAAACCUGGGAUUGGUUUGUUAGCCUGUUGUGCUCAGACUUAAAAGUUGGAGAUGGAUCGAACUAUGUUACUAUUUCUGAUCAGCAGAAAGUAAUUCUCUUUUAA
rnacentral:rRNA from 1 species